rnacentral:misc_RNA from 1 species
UACGUAGGUGGCGAACGUUAUCCGGAAUUACUGGGCGUAAAGGGUCCGCAGGCGGAUAAGCAAGUCUGACGUGAAAGCGCUCGGCUCAACUGAGCGACGCCGUUAGAAACUGCUUGUCUUGAAUCAGGCAGAGGUCGGUGGAAUUCCUGGUGUAGUGGUGGAAUGCGUAGAUAUCAGGAGGAACGCCAAAGGCGAAGGCAGCCGGCUAGGCCAUGAUUGACGCUGAGGGACGAAAGCGUGGGGAGCGAACAGG